rnacentral:rRNA from 1 species
AAAGAAACCAACAGGGAUUGCCUUAGUAACGGCGAGUGAAGCGGCAAUAGCUCAAAUUUGAAAUCUGGCGUCUUUGGGCGUCCGAGUUGUAAUUUGUAGAGGAUGUUUCGGUAUUAGCUCCGGUCUAAGUCCCUUGGAACAGGGUGUCGCAGAGGGUGAGAAUCCCGUACGCGACCGGCCGCUUUUGCCAUGUGAAACUCCUUCGACGAGUCGAGUUGUUUGGGAAUGCAGCUCUAAUUGGGAGGUAAAUUUCUUCUAAAGCUAAAUACUGGCCAGAGACCGAUAGCGCACAAGUAGAGUGAUCGAAAGAUGAAAAGCACUUUGGAAAGAGAGUUAAAAAGUACGUGAAAUUGUUGAAAGGGAAGCGCUUGCAAUCAGACCUGCUUGCAGUUGUUCAUCUAGGCUUUUGUCUAGUGCAUUCUUCUGUAAGUCAGGCCAGUAUCGGUUCGGGCGGUUGGAUAAAGAAUUCAGGAAUGUAGCUCUUCUCGGAGAGUGUUAUAGCCUGUUUUGUAAUGCAACCAGCCCGGAUCGAGGACCGCGCUUCGGCUAGGAUACUGGCGUAAUGGUUGUAAGCGGCC